rnacentral:rRNA from 1 species
ACUCCUACGGGAGGCAGCAGUGGGGAAUAUUGCACAAUGGGCGGAAGCCUGAUGCAGCAACGCCGCGUGCGGGAUGACGGCCUUCGGGUUGUGAAAUCCGCAUUUCGCCUGUGACGAAGCGUGAGUGACGGUAAUGGGUAAAGAAGCACCGGCUAACUACGUGCCAGCAGCCGCGGUGAUACGUAGGGUGCGAGCGUUGUCCGGAUUUAUUGGGCGUAAAGGGCUCGUAGGUGGUUGAUCGCGUCGGAAGUGUAAUCUUGGGGCUUAACCCUGAGCGUGCUUUCGAUACGGGUUGACUUGAGGAAGGUAGGGGAGAAUGGAAUUCCUGGUGGAGCGGUGGAAUGCGCAGAUAUCAGGAGGAACACCAGUGGCGAAGGCGGUUCUCUGGGCCCUUUCCUGACGCUGAGGAGCGAAAGCGUGGGGGAGCGAACAGGCUUAGAUACCCUGUAGGCUCUG